rnacentral:lncRNA from 1 species
CGUGCAUUUCUGUCACAAGUGGCAGAAGUAAAUUACAACCAGAACCAAGACACAAUUUGCCCACAUUUCGAAAAAACACAAAAAAUUUUGGCAUAACGGAUUCCGUUUGCUGCAGGAGGGGGCGGGGGAAAAGAAAAGAGUGAUCCUACACUAAGCCUUUGAGGCGCCGGUAAGUUGCAUAUUGGGUAGAUCCUGACCUAGACUUCGGUGAACUUUGAUGCAGGACCCCAUCAGAGCCAGACAAGGGCUCCUCCAUUAUGAAUAAAAUUGUUUGAUUCCUUCGCGCCCACGGACUCACAAAGCCCGUACUCUCAGCUGUUACGUAAGAGUCUCUGGAAUCCCUGGAUAGUGUUUGUAAAUAGCGCUGCCAUGCGCACGGAACCCACGUGUCAAAUGUUGAUGUGACCGCGUGUAAUCGCAAGGCGAGAAAGUGUCAACAAGCUCCAAGGAGAAACCUCCUAUUUCUUUGGGCCCUAAAAAAAGAACAUAUUAUCCAAAGCUUGAAUUCAAGUCCCUUUGAGGAACAACCCUCAAUUCCUGAGAGGCAGCUUAAUCAGCACAUGACCAUCACCAGAGUCAAAUGGCACCAUUAUGAAGGUCUGCCCAGGAGAUCCUCAGAUCACAGCAGGAGCAGAAAGGAAUAGAA